rnacentral:rRNA from 1 species
AUGCACGCUAGCUACAGGCUUAACCCAUGCAAGUCGCGGGGCAGCAUGGUCUUAGCUUGCUAAGGCCGAUGGCGACCGGCGCACGGGUGAGUAACACGUAUCCAACCUGCCGUCUACUCUUGGACAGCCUUCUGAAAGGAAGAUUAAUACAAGAUGGCAUCAUGAGUCCGCAUGUUCACAUGAUUAAAGGUAUUCCGGUAGACGAUGGGGAUGCGUUCCAUUAGAUAGUAGGCGGGGUAACGGCCCACCUAGUCUUCGAUGGAUAGGGGUUCUGAGAGGAAGGUCCCCCACAUUGGAACUGAGACACGGUCCAAACGCCUACGGGAGGCAGCAGUGAGGAAUAUUGGUCAAUGGGCGAGAGCCUGAACCAGCCAAGUAGCGUGAAGGAUGACUGCCCUAUGGGUUGUAAACUUCUUUUAGAAAGGAAUAAAGUCGGGUAUGGAUACCCGUUUGCAUGUACUUUAUGAAUAAGGAUCGGCUAACUCCGUG